GGAUAAUAAAGGAACCAAACACUAAAAGGUGGAGUAUAUAAUCAUAUCAAGUCAUUCAAACACGUCAAGUAUGAAAACGAAACAGAACUGUCCAAGUACAUAUGGGAGCUGAAGCGGAAGGAACACUAAAAGGUGGAGUAUAUAAUCAUAUCAAGUCAUUCAAACACGUCAAGUAUGAAAACGAAACAGAACUGUCCAAGUACAUAUGGGAGCUGAAGCGGAAGGAACACUAAAAGGUGGAGUAUAUAAUCAUAUCAAGUCAUUGAAACACGUCAAGUAUGAAAACGAAACAGAACUGUCCAAGUACAUAUGGGAGCUGAAGCGGAAGGAACACUAAAAGGUGGAGUAUAUAAUCAUAUCAAGUCAUUGAAACACGUCAAGUAUGAAAACGAAACAGAACUGUCCAAGUACAUA